GACGAACGCUGGCGGCGUGCUUAACACAUGCAAGUCGAACGAAGUGGCGGACGGGUGAGUAACGCGUAAUAAACCUGCCCUUCAGAGGGGGACAACAGUUGGAAACGACAGCUAAUACCGAAUACUGAAUGAGGGGAUUGCGUCUGAUUAGCUAGUUGGAGGGGUAAAGGCCCACCAAGGCGAUGCUCAGUAUGCGGUCUGUGAGGAUGAACGGCCCAAUGGGGACUUAGACAAGGCCCAGACUCCUACGGGAGGCAGCAGUGGGGAAUCUUUCUCAAUGGACGAAAGUCUGACGGAGCAACUCCGCGGGAGUGAUGACGGCCUUCGGGUUGUAAAGCUCUGUUAAUCGGGACGCGGUACCGGAAUAGAAAGCCACGGCUAACUCCGUGCCAGCAGCCGCGGUAAUAC
rnacentral:rRNA from 1 species